rnacentral:lncRNA from 1 species
UAUUAGAUGCUUCCAGCUCCUUCUCCAAUUGUGAAGUCUUGUCUAUCAGACUGCUGAUCUCUUUCUCCCAUUUUUUUUUCCAAAAGGUUUCCAUCUUUUGGGUAAGCUCCAGUUUGAGAUCUUCCAGAGCUUGUGAAUAGUUUCCAUUUUUGGAGUCUAUGGGAAAUACUACUGACCCAUGAAUCAGAAAAGAAUAAGAUUUGAGGAUUAUUGUUUUUGUCUCCCUGAGGAUAUGCAGCUACCUCAUUUUCGAACAGGGAAACAGGCUCUAAAUCUUCAGUCUUUGCACAGAUCCCCAAGGACUGAGCCUACAUGAAAGCUGAAAUACUCUACCCAUAGCACUGACUGUGAAAGAAAGGGCCAGUGGCAUGACACUGCCUCUUUCCGCAUUAUACUGGUUCUUGGAAUAAAUUGAUUACUUUGAUCUUAAAAGCUGUAAAU